UACGGGGGGAGCAAGCGUUGUUCGGAUUUACUGGGCGUAAAGGGCGCGUAGGCGGCCAGCACAAGUCAGUUGUGAAAUCUCCGAGCUUAACUCGGAAAGGUCAACUGAUACUGUGCGGCUAGAGUGCGGAAGGGGCAACUGGAAUUCCUGGUGUAGCGGUGAAAUGCGCAGAUAUCAGGAGGAACACCGGUGGCGAAGGCGGGUCUCUGGGCCGAUACUGACGCUGAGGAGCGAAAGCGUGGGGAGCGAACAGG
rnacentral:rRNA from 1 species